GGACCAUUGCAAUUUAAAGAUGUGGCCAUAGAAUUCUCUCUGGAGGAGUGGCAGUGCCUGGACACUGCACAGCAGAAUUUAUAUAGGGAUGUGAAGUUUCAGAACUACAGAAACUUGGUCUUCCUUUAGAUUAUAUUUUCUUCCAUCUUCCGCAUCCUCCUGUUCUUCAGCCAAUAAAUGAAAAAAGAUACAGAGAAGACACAUUUGCUUUUUAUCCACUGCACUUCCACUCACUAUUAGUCAAUGUGGUUACAGCUGAGAAUAGCAGUUUUCUGGCAGGGCAGCCACUUCUCAGCAAUAAACUGCACACUGAAAAAAAAGGAUAAAUCCUUCAUAAAAAGCUAAUGAACUUUUUUUUUCCUGGAAAUUUUAAAAUCCCUCAAAAACUGUUUAUUAUACAGGUGAAUUUUGAUAGUCAUGAUGGGCUUAUCGGUAGGAUUUCUGGUAGCGAGCACGGGCACCAGGGCCUCCAAACUUUUUGGACUUGCAGCGACGGAGAUCAGCUACCAGCAGGGUCCGGUCAUACUGGAUGAG
rnacentral:antisense_RNA from 1 species